CAGGCUUAACACAUGCAAGUCGAGGGGCAGCAUGGUCUUAUCUUGCUAAGGCCGAUGGCGACCGGCGCACGGGUGAGUAACGCGUAUCCAACCUGCCGUCUACUCUUGGACAGCCUUCUGAAAGGAAGAUUAAUACAAGAUGGCAUCAUGAGUCCGCAUGUUCACAUGAUUAAAGGUAUUCCGGUAGACGAUGGGGAUGCGUUCCAUUAGAUAGUAGGCGGGGUAACGGCCCACCUAGUCUUCGAUGGAUAGGGGUUCUGAGAGGAAGGUCCCCCACAUUGGAACUGAGACACGGUCCAAACUCCUACGGGAGGCAGCAGUGAGGAAUAUUGGUCAAUGGGCGAGAGCCUGAACCAGCCAAGUAGCGUGAAGGAUGACUGCCCUAUGGGUUGUAAACUUCUUUUAUAAAGGAAUAAAGUCGGGUAUGGAUACCCGUUUGCAUGUACUUUAUGAAUAAGGAUCGGCUAACUCCGUGCCAGCAGCCGCGGUAAUACGGAGGAUCCGAGCGUUAUCCGGAUUUAUUGGGUUUAAAGGGAGCGUAGAUGGAUGUUUAAGUCAGUUGUGAAAGUUUGCGGCUCAACCGUAAAAUUGCAGUUGAUACUGGAUAGCUUGAGUGCAGUUGAGGCAGGCGGAAUUCGUGGUGUAGCGGUGAAAUGCUUAGAUAUCACGAAGAACUCCGAUUGCGAAGGCAGCCUGCUAAGCUGCAACUGACAUUGAGGCUCGAAAGUGUGGGUAUCAAACAGGAUUAGAUACCCUGGUAGUCCACACGGUAAACGAUGAAUACUCGCUGUUUGCGAUAUACUGCAAGCGGCCAAGCGAAAGCGUUAAGUAUUCCACCUGGGGAGUACGCCGGCAACGGUGAAACUCAAAGGAAUUGACGGGGGCCCGCACAAGCGGAGGAACAUGUGGUUUAAUUCGAUGAUACGCGAGGAACCUUACCCGGGCUUAAAUUGCAGAUGAAUUACGGUGAAAGCCGUAAGCCGCAAGGCAUCUGUGAAGGUGCUGCAUGGUUGUCGUCAGCUCGUGCCGUGAGGUGUCGGCUUAAGUGCCAUAACGAGCGCAACCCUUGUUGUCAGUUACUAACAGGUUCCGCUGAGGACUCUGACAAGACUGCCAUCGUAAGAUGUGAGGAAGGUGGGGAUGACGUCAAAUCAGCACGGCCCUUACGUCCGGGGCUACACACGUGUUACAAUGGGGGGUACAGAGGGCCGCUACCACGCGAGUGGAUGCCAAUCCCCAAAACCUCUCUCAGUUCGGACUGGAGUCUGCAACCCGACUCCACGAAGCUGGAUUCGCUAGUAAUCGCGCAUCAGCCACGGCGCGGUGAAUACGUUCCCGGGCCUUGUACACACCGCCCGUCAAGCCAUGGGAGCCGGGGGUACCUGAAGUGCGUAACCGCGAGGAGCGCCCUAGGGUAAAACUGGUGACUGGGGC
rnacentral:rRNA from 1 species